rnacentral:rRNA from 1 species
AGAGUUUGAUCAUGGCUCAGAGCGAACGCUGGCGGCAGGCCUAACACAUGCAAGUCGAGCGCCCCGCAAGGGGAGCGGCAGACGGGAGAGUAACACGUGGGAACGUACCCUUCAGUUCGGAACAACCCAGGGAAACUUGGGCUAAUACCGAAUACGUCCGUAAGGAGAAAGAUUUAUCGCUGAAGGAUCGGCCCGCGUCUGAUUAGCUAGUUGGUGAGGUAACGGCUCACCAAGGCGACGAUCAGUAGCUGGUCUGAGAGGAUGAUCAGCCUCAUUGGGACUGAGACACGGCCCAAACUCCUACGGGAGGCAGCAGUGGGGAAUAUUGGACAAUGGGCGCAAGCCUGAUCCAGCCAUGCCGCGUGGAUGAUGAAGGCCCUAGGGUUGUAAAGUCCUUUCGGCGGGGAAGAUAAUGACGGUACCCGCAGAAGAAGCCCCGGCUAACUUCGUGCCAGCAGCCGCGGUAAUACGAAGGGGGCUAGCGUUGCUCGGAAUCACUGGGCGUAAAGCGCACGUAGGCGGACUCUUAAGUCGGUGGUGAAAUCCUGGAGCUCAACUCCAGAACUGCCUUCGAUACUGAGAGUCUCGAGUCCGGGAGAGGUGAGUGGAACUGCGAGUGUAGAGGUGAAAUUCGUAGAUAUUCGCAAGAACACCAGUGGCGAAGGCGGCUCACUGGCCCGGUACUGACGCUGAGGUGCGAAAGCGUGGGGAGCAAACAGGAUUAGAUACCCUGGUAGUCCACGCCGUAAACGAUGGAUGCUAGCCGUUGGCAGGCUUGCCUGUCAGUGGCGCAGCUAACGCAUUAAGCAUCCCGCCUGGGGAGUACGGUCGCAAGAUUAAAACUCAAAGGAAUUGACGG